UACGGAGGGGGCUAGCGUUGUUCGGAAUUACUGGGCGUAAAGCGCACGUAGGCGGCUUUGUAAGUUAGAGGUGAAAGCCCAGGGCUCAACCCUGGAAUUGCCUUUAAGACUGCAUCGCUUGAAUUGUGGAGAGGUAAGUGGAAUUCCGAGUGUAGAGGUGAAAUUCGUAGAUAUUCGGAAGAACACCAGUGGCGAAGGCGACUUACUGGACACAUAUUGACGCUGAGGUGCGAAAGCGUGGGGAGCAAACAGGG
rnacentral:rRNA from 1 species